rnacentral:misc_RNA from 1 species
GUUCUCAUGAAUUUUUUAAAGUGCAAAAUAUAUACAUAUAUAUAUUGCAACUAAUUUUCAGUAUUGCCACCCAAAAACAGAAAUUAGGUCAUUUUCCCAUAAACUAUUUUCACAUACAAAUUAAUUUUAGCAAAACAAAAAACCUAAAUUCAAUUUAAGAAAAAAAAAUGUUAAAACAAGCAAUGCGAAUAUUUUCUUCAAUGGUCACGGCUAACAUGAAUUCAUUCUCAAUACUACAACGAUGAAUUCACCAGCUCUUGUAAUUGUUAAAACUGUAGUCGACUUAAGCUGCUGCAGACUUGUGAUUCAGAAUGUAAAGAAAGAACUGGGAACCCCAACAUGUAAAUGCUCCAUUAAUUGUGAAUUUGCUAUAUGUGCCAAUGCUCAACUCACAAGUUUUCUCAAUACUGCUUCAGCACGCUGCUCAAAUUUGGGCAGGGCCCAUUCAUGCUGAACUAUGUCUAGACUGUCUUUCUCAGCACUCAAGCUCUUUGUUGGAUCGAAGCCAAACCCACUCAUUUGCAUCAUGCGUUGUGUGUCAUCCAUAGCAUUUUCUUCACCAAGAAUGAG